rnacentral:rRNA from 1 species
UACGUAGGGAGCAAGCGUUGUCCGGAAUCAUUGGGCGUAAAGCGCGCGUAGGUGGCUUCGUAAGUCCGUUGUGAAAGUCAAAGGCUCAACCUUUGAAAGCCGGUGGAUACUGUCGGGCUAGAGUGCGGAAGAGGCGAGUGGAAUUCCUGGUGUAGCGGUGAAAUGCGCAGAUAUCAGGAGGAACACCGGUGGCGAAGGCGGUUCUCUGGGCAUUACCUGACGCUGAGGAGCGAAAGUGUGGGGAGCGAACAGG